rnacentral:rRNA from 1 species
GUCUUUCUGAUUUUAAUUUAAAGUCUAAUCUGCCCAAUGAUGUAUUUAAUGGCCGCGGUAUUUUGACCGUGCAAAGGUAGCAUAAUAAUUAGUCUCUUAAUUAGAGACUGGAAUGAAUGAUUGAAUGUAAUAUAUACUGUCUCACUUAUAUUAAUGAUUGAAUUUAAUUUUUGAGUGAAAAAGCUUAAAUUUAAUUAAGGGACGAGAAGACCCUAUAGAGUUUUAUAAUUAUAGUGUUUAUGUAUUUAAUUAUUUAUUAAAUAACUAUAUUUAUUUGGUUGGGGUGAUUGGAAAAUUUAUUGAACUUUUUUAAUAAGUUAAACAUUGAUUUAUGAUUUUAUUGAUCCUUAUUUAUAAGAUUAUUAGAUUAAAUUACCUUAGGGAUAACAGCGUAAUUUUUUUUGAAAGUUCUUAUUGAUAAAAGAGAUUGCGACCUCGAUGUUGGAUUAAAAUUAAUUUUAGGUGUAGGAGCUUAUAAAUUUAGGUCUGUUCGACCUUUAAAUUUUUACA